rnacentral:rRNA from 1 species
UACGGGGGGGGCAAGCGUUGUUCGGAAUUACUGGGCGUAAAGGGCGCGUAGGCGGCCUAAUAAGUCACUUGUGAAAUCUCCGGGCUUAACUCGGAAUGGCCAAGUGAAACUGUCAGGCUAGAGUGCAGAAGGGGCAAUCGGAAUUCUUGGUGUAGCGGUGAAAUGCGUAGAUAUCAAGAGGAACACCUGAGGUGAAGACGGGUUGCUGGG